UUAAAUUGAAGAGUUUGAUCAUGGCUCAGAUUGAACGCUGGCGGCAGGCCUAACACAUGCAAGUCGAGCGGUAGCACAGAGAGCUUGCUCUCGGGUGACGAGCGGCGGACGGGUGAGUAAUGUCUGGGAAACUGCCUGAUGGAGGGGGAUAACUACUGGAAACGGUAGCUAAUACCGCAUAAUGUCGCAAGACCAAAGUGGGGGACCUUCGGGCCUCAUGCCAUCAGAUGUGCCCAGAUGGGAUUAGCUAGUAGGUGGGGUAACGGCUCACCUAGGCGACGAUCCCUAGCUGGUCUUAGAGGAUGACCAGCCACACUGGAAC
rnacentral:rRNA from 1 species